GCUGCGGCCGGGAGGUGAUCCGCUUCUCAGUGGCUGCAGGGGACCCGCAGGAGCUGCCACCCACCGCCACCUCCACCGCCACCAUCUCCUCCAGGAGCAGCAAGGAGGCUCCGGGCAGCGAGGGAAGGACGGGGAGCAGCCCUCCCUCCGGAGCCGGGGCUCGCUGGAGCUGAUCUGAUCGAGGCCUACCAAAGACAUUAACGACGUCGAAAGUAGCCUACUUUAAGAGAAAAUAUGCAGAAGAAGAACAUUUACAUCAAGAUUACCAUGAGUAUUGUCCAAAACACCUGAUACUACCCGAGGACCGGACUUGUAUUCUAAAACUUUCUCUCCAGAAACUCCGAUUCCUGGACGACCCUGAAGCCUAUCUCCGUAGGUCUGUAUUAAUUAACAAUCUGUUGAGGAAGAUUCACCUAGAGACAGAGAGGGAGAGCUAUGAAUACUUUAAGGAAGCUCCCUGCUAUAGGACUGCUUACUCUGACGCACGAAAACGGCUGAAGCUGAUGGUAGAGGAGUGCUGUUCCCAGUCGCUCUAUUAUGAAGAGCUGCACUCGUAUCGCAUUGUGCCUUACUCUGCAGAGAACGCCGUUUACGGGAUGGGCUACACAAGCAGCCACUUGGAGCAGAACUCUCAAUUGCUUAUUUAUAAAAUGAAUUAAAGUAACCGUUAGACCCACUGAUGUUUGUUUCUGGAUGCUCGGACUGCUUAUCGGGAUGUUGAGGUGGGGCACUGAUUGCGGAUGCACUGGUGGUGGGAGGCGGAUGAUGGUGCCUUCAGAAGCUGAGCGGAAGGUACUUUGAAUAAUGCAGUCCCUGCUGUUAACCCCCUGAUUGUGAAGUACCUUGAGGUGCAGAGAGAGCUGGUGAAAUGCGGAGGUCCUUAAUUCGCAGAGACUGUGCGCAAUGUGUUUUGUAGAAAUAAAGCUGCAUUUAAGUUAUCUGUGUGUAGAUACGGACGUUCAAAAUCCCUUUGCAGUUAAGUUACGCCAUCCCUGGUGGAAGGGGAGCCCCUAAAGCGGUGGAGUAGUGUGACAGUGAGGAGUAAAUUUGCUGUAAAGGUAUAGAUAGGAAGUUUCUUUGAGAAAUGCUUUGAUCAUAAAGGAGUCAGUGCCAAAGGAAAGAGCCUUUUGCUUAGGAUUUUUCAGAGAUUUAACUCGCUUGCUACUUACAAGGCACUCUAUACUGAGGUUUACAAGGGUUUGGUUUGUGUUUGCUUGGUUGUUGUUUUUUUUUUUAAAUAAUUGCAUUCACCUUUUACUUAUAUUAUCUCUUGGCUGGUAUCUACUUUGCUAUUUUAAUACAACCCAGAAUGACUCACAGGAAAGAAUGUUUCUUCAGCCUGUCGUCAGUGUUUCCUUAACUUCGUUUGGUCCCUUCCCUAGCUGCUUCCCUGAUACUUCUUUGCAUGCCAAUUUGCUGUUUGGCCAGAGGUUCACAUCGGUGCUAGGGAAUAGACAGUAAUUUCUUUUUAUGUGGAAUAUAAGAGGCAGAAAAACAACGAUGACUUUCAUAGAUAUAGAGAAUGAAUGUAUCUGACAAAAGCUAGUAAAACCUCAGAGGUUCUCCUGAUGAAACCGCUCAGCGUUAGUGUUUUGGGUUAAGUGAAACGUCUGAUUUCAAUCUGGGAAUUAACCUUAGAAGAUGUAAAUAGAUACUUCACAAGCUAUGACAGGAGGGAUGCUCAGCAAAUUGAUGGCUGCAAGUGGAAAGUUUUAUAGCUGCAAAAGCUACGUCACGAAAAUACCAAAGAGUAAUAUAAGGGAAAAGAUGAUGCUCCAGCAAUGGGGUCAGAAGCAAAGAUUGCACUAUAACCUGGGGAAAUGUGAUUAACGAGCCUGCAAACUACCCGUUACUGGUACACCUGCAGCUCACCCGUGGGUGACUUGCAUCCCAGAAUUGCUGAACAAAUAUAGGAGACGAUCCAAAGCCUGUCCAAGGUCUGUUGGCUUACAGUGAAGAAACCAGCUUCGCCUUGCUGGCUGCCACCUCUUUAAAGCUUUAAAAGCAAAGUAAGUAAUAGCGCACACUCAGCAGGAGGCAAAUAAGUAUCCAAGAACCUAAUUUUUUUAUUUUGAAAGGCUUUGCUCAUGCAGAUGUGGCUGAUGCUGUUUCUCAAGCAUUAUACAGUACAGACAAAUUCCAUUGCUUACCAGGGAUGUGCUCCAUGUAGGAUUAGAGCAUCCUAGAGCAUCCUAGUCAUGUGUGUGGCGUGUAUCAUUGCAGCUCUUAAGGCACGUUAACACUUGGGUGUCAGUGCAGGAGAAAAGACAGAAAGGCACGAGCAGGAGGAUAAGAUAACUCCAAUAUCAGUAAGAUAUAAGCCAGACAGAAGGAAACAUUGAAAUCCAGAGAAAUUUUUUUUCUAAUGAAAAAAAAGAAAAAGAAGAAAAAAGGCAACAGUCUAAUUCAAACCAAGGCUAACCUGCGAACUGGAGGACAAAAACAGCACAGAUACUGUGGGAAGGCUGGAAAAACAGGGCAGUGCUGUUUGGGAGGUGCUCUUAGUCACGAUGAAUGUUCAGGUUUUUGUUUUUUAUUUUGAGAUAAGGCAUAUUUACUUGCCUCUUACUGAAGGGACUUUAAAGGGUCUCUUUACAAAAGGUCUUUAAACCCUUGGUCAGUGUAAUUUGGUGUCAGAUCUGCUUGGCUACCUGUCUUGAUAGUCCUGCUGCCCCUGGGCUUGCACCAGCCCAGACCCAGGCGAGGGAUUAAGCUCACAUUAAGCAUAGUUUGAGAAAUUUUCAGCUAAAAAGUGGCCGUGCCCAUCUUGACAGGGGCUGGAUGGCUGAGAAAGGCCAGGCUAAUCAUCAGGUGUGUGGAACAGCCCUAAUACCGCCGGUAAAAGCCCUCUGCUGUGGGCUGAUGGCAGGAUGGCUGCUGUGAGAGGUGCUGUUAUCCCCCCCCCGAGAUCUCCCUGGCCUCUCCUGGCACCUUGUGUGCCUCGUGGGGACCGAGGAGCGGGGGCAGGGACAUUAGAAGACUGCUGGGUGGUAAUGGAAAAUUACUUCUAUCUUCUGAUUUUUCAAGCUAUGUAAUUUUCUGCUCCAGAGUGCUCUGAUUUAUGCACUUUUUUUUUUCUCCCUGUCCAUUUUCGCCUGAAUUCGUCAUGAUCUAGCAGCUACACGAAAUGCUAAAAUGUGGUUUUUUUUUUCCUCUCACUGACCUACUUUCUUAUAUUCAGAGGGUGGUUCUGGCCCGAAAAACCAAAACUUUUUAUGUAAAAUGAAUAAUGUUGCAGUGGAAUAAAAAAGCUCAGUAGGACUAAAGCCUUUAACCUCACCUGAAGAAAUCCCAUUGCCCCUGUUGGAUUCAUCUUUGAAGAGUAACUUCCUUGCCUGCUAGAAGGGGCAGAUACUUUCUUGCCCCUUGAAAGCUGCUCUGAUAAGGUGUUACAAUAACUGAACAGAUAUAAAAGACAAAAAUCUGGAUCAGAUAACAAAACUCCUUGGACUACCUGUGAAAGAGGAUGAUAUUUUACUCAUGUUUUUCUCAUGGAUUGUGUUAUUGAACAAAAGACAUUGUCUGAUGUUUUUAUUUCUACUCGCUCUAGGAGCUGUUAAAAUUGCCGAUUGCUUUCUAGAAAACAAAUUGGUUUUUUAUGGUUGACUUUUGAUAUGAAAUUGAAUCAAAAGUCCACAAUUCUAAAUAUUUUGAGUCUGCUCAAGUUUUUACUGCCUUCCGCUUUGCGCAGUGACUUGUGCUGUUGAAAAGUGGGUCUGAAAUAUUCUACUUUAGAGCUUAAACCCCAUAGUUUAUGGGGUGAUAAAGAAGUACAAAGGUGCAAUAACAUUGAAAGUUACUCCCAAAAUAUUUAAUUUGUCACUUUUUGACUUAUAUACUGAUUCUAACUUUUAGUUACCAGGUUAGUAGGUAUCAAGAGUUUUAAUACAGCUACAUACAGUGAUUUUUCUUUUUUGAGUUUGUAGCUACAAUUCAGCUCUUCUGGCUUCGGAUGUGUGAAUCUGUCUGUAGGUGGUCAACUUUCAGCGAUAGAUAGAUAGAUAUAUAUAUAUAUUGUUAUGACUGCAGUAGGAACUCCCACAUACGGGCUAUGUUUGCACUGGAUGUAAAGAAAGUCCUUCCUUCCCUUUGACUCAGUUGCCAUGGAGAUAGUAUAUUCAUCAUCGGAGAUGAUAUAGAUGAGCUGGGUGACAAGGACAGACUUGGUAACGGUUUUGAAAACAACGGGUUUAGGACAAUUCCUUUUUGUCUGGGAAUAGCAGCACGCUUGACUGCAAUUAGCCGUUUCAAGGAGUCAACUUUUCUUUGUGCUGCUUUUCCCUAACUGGCUGUAAAUGCCAGUUUACAUUUGGGGGCCUGAUCCUGGGUGCAGGAGGGGUGGUGGUGGUGGCCCCACGGGAGGCACGGCGUGGGAGCUGUGGCUGGAGGCAAGAGGGGUACGGAUGCUGGGGGGGGGCAGCAUCUCGCAUGUACGACACCCCAAAAUAUUAGGGCCCCAACCCUGUAAAUGCUUCAGUUAUCACCUAAGUUUCUUUGCACAGAUCCUCUUGCUGGAUCCAGGGAGGCUCCUCAAGUACUUGGUGCUCAGCGUGUCUCUGCGCGUGGGUGCAGGUCUGGGGCUGCUGAGCACCACAGAGGUACUCCUCAGUUGCCUAAUUAUCCGUGAAAGUGAUUAUCGAGCUGCCGCUUGAGUUCUUGAACACGUUUCUAUUGCACUGUAAAUUUAACUUUUUGUUUUCAUACGAAUGUGUCGAGUAUAUGGACUAUCGUGCCUUAAAGUCCCAUCCUCAUACGAGCCUUUGUGUAUGUUCUGUAAAUCUGCAAACCAUGUAUAGCUGAUAUCUCUGUGCACCCUACACACAUCCCGUUCGGUACUUGGCAGGGCUUUGGGAAACACGACCCUGACCUCAAUUUGCCAUGAAAACAGAGGGGAAUACGGCAAUUCACUCUUACCUUCUUUUUUUUUAGAUUGCUUUCCUCUUCUCCGUCCGUGAAAUUCCAUUUUUCUGGUUUCUGGUGUGACUGGGUUCUGGGUUACCUACCUUCCCCUCACAGGAACUCAGAAAGCUGUAAAAAAGUCAUCUCCAGCUUUUAAAUGCCAUCUGUACAGCGCGCUCUCAGCAGGGAAUCACAAUUGUAUAUAAUAUCGGUGGCAGGUGGUGUCAAGUAUAUCAUCAUAUAUUUGACAUGAUUAACAAAGCAGAAAAGGGAACACCUAUUUCUAUUGAAAUGCAUGAGCCUGCAUUAUGUUAACUACAUGGUGAUUAUACACCACUUAAUUGGAAUAAUACCUACUGGUUCUAUUAAAAAAAAAUGGCUUUUUAAUGUUUAAAAUUACUUGGGACCUGAUUAAAGGUUUUUAUGAAAUUGUUUUCUAAAGUGAAUAGUAGAAAAAUGUAUAUGUAUUUUAAAUAUACAUAUGAUGUGCAUGUUAUUAAUAAAGAUCUAUUUCUAUUGAAA